UUUUUGUUUAUAAUUUAAAGUUUAAUCUGCCCACUGAUAAUAAUUAAAGGGCUGCAGUAUAUUGACUGUACAAAGGUAGCAUAAUCAUUAGUCUUUUAAUUGAAGACUUGUAUGAAAGAUUUGAUGAGAUAUAAACUGUCUCUUAUUUAAAAUUAGAAAUUAAUUUUUUAAUAAAAAAGUUAAAAUAAAUUUAAAAGACGAGAAGACCCUAUAGAGUUUUAUAAUUAUUUUAAUUGAUUAUUUUUAUAAAUUUUAAUUAAAAAUUAAUAUUAAUUAUUUAAUUGGGGUGAUUGAAAAAUUAAAUAAACUUUUUAUAUAAUUAAACAUAAAUUAAUGAAUAAAUGAUCCAUAAUUUAUGAUUAAAAGAAAAAAUUACCUUAGGGAUAACAGCGUAAUUUUUUUUUUUAGUUCAAAUAAAAAAAAGAGUUUGCGACCUCGAUGUUGGAUUAAGAUAAAAUUUAAAUGUAGAAGUUUAAAAUUUUUGAUCUGUUCGAUCAUUAAAAUCUU
rnacentral:rRNA from 1 species